CAGUCGCCGCGGGAAAACGUAGGUGGCAAGCGUUGUCCGGAAUUAUUGGGCGUAAAGGGCUCGCAGGCGGUUUCUUAAGUCUGAUGUGAAAGCCCCCGGCUCAACCGGGGAGGGUCAUUGGAAACUGGGAAACUUGAGUGCAGAAGAGGAGAGUGGAAUUCCACGUGUAGCGGUGAAAUGCGUAGAGAUGUGGAGGAACACCAGUGGCGAAGGCGACUCUCUGGUCUGUAACUGACGCUGAGGAGCGAAAGCGUGGGGAGCAAACAGGAUUAGAUACCCCGGUAGUCCCUGUCUCUUAUAC
rnacentral:rRNA from 1 species